GUAGUGAAAUCCAAAUGAGGCAAUACAUUUGCCAAGAGAGGCAGUAUAAAGAGAAAAAGGAAGGGGACCAAGGACAGAGCUUUGGAGGACUCCAACAGAGACAGGAUGAAGAAAAGGAGACACUGAAUGAGCAUUUGGAGAGAUAGGAGGAAAACCAAGAGAGGACAGUGUCACAGAGACCGAGUGAUUGAAGAGUUUGAAGAAGGAGAGCAUGAUCAAUGGUGUCAAAGGCAGCAGAGAGGUCAAGAAGUAUUAGUAUGGAGUAGUGCCCUUUGGAUUUAGCUGCGAUUAGGUCAUUAGUAACGUUGAUAAGAGCAGUCUCAGUAGAGUGGAGGGGCAGAAGCCAGAUUGAAGAGGGUCAAGGAGAGAGGUGGAAUUGAGGAAGUAAGACAUACAGGUAAAGAAGCUUUGAGG